GAAAUGCGAUAAGUAGUGUGAAUUGCAGAAUUCAGUGAAUCAUCGAAUCUUUGAACGCACAUUGCGCCCUUUGGUAUUCCAAAGGGCAUGCCUGUUCGAGCGUCAUUUGUACCCUCAAGCUUUGCUUGGUGUUGGGCGUCUUGUCUCCAGUUCGCUGGGGACUCGCCUUAAAGUUAUUGGCAGCCGGCCUACUGGUUUCGGAGCGCAGCACAAGUCGCGCUCUCUUCCAGCCAAGGUCAGCAUCCACAAAGCCUUUUUUCAACUUUGACCUCGGAUCAGGUAGGGAUACCCGCUGAACUUAAGC
rnacentral:misc_RNA from 1 species